GAAUGUUUCUGUUUCUGUUUUCAACAACAAAGAGUGAACGUAAACAUGUUUAUCAUGUGACGAUGUCAUCGUUUUUCGGUUGUGAGGAGACAACAUACUUCCUGUCAUGCCCUCCAGUUCAAAACAGAGAGUCGCAGUCAAAAUGGUGAGGAGGUGAGCAGGUGGCGUCCAUCACGGCGAGGACGUGAGCAGGUGGCUUCUAUGAUGGUCGAGGAGGUGUGAUGAAAGGCAGCGAGAGCUCAAGUGCAGUCAGGGGGCUUUUGUUGUGAAAGGGCCGAGAGGCGGAGGAGCAGCUUCCUGAGAGAGUCAACAACAGCUGAGGUCGCCAUCAGCUGCCAUCGUUGAAAGCAGGUUACGUCAAAACAUAGCCAGUGGUACAGUGGAUCAGUGGCCUGGGAGUGUAUGGUACAGUGGUGCCUCGUUCCAGUGGUGUGAUAGUCCAGAUACCUAGUGGUCCAGCAACUCGUGGUCUAGUGGUCCAGCUUUUCAGCAGUGGCGGAGCCAGACAUUUUUCAUAGGUUUUACUGACACCUCCUCCACAUGGGAAGUUGUGUGCGUCCAAGUGGAAACGGCGGUUAGGCCGAACUAAAGUCCUGCACCACAGAGUCGUGUUUGUCAAAAUUGUCCCCCAGCCGUGGGGGUGACCGCAGAUCCCCCACUGGUUUCCAGUUGUGUGGUAUUCGGGAUGUCUGGUGGUCCAGUGGUGUCAGUGACGCUGAGCUGCAGUGGUUUAGUCGUGCAGCGGUACAGUGAUCCAGUGACCUAGUAGUCCUGUGGUACAGUGGUCAAUUGGUGCAGUGAGAGUCCAGUUUUAUACUAUACCAUAAACCUCUACCUCCUGUGUGAGGUUUAUACAUGUCAGGUCCUCACGCUUAGUGUGUUAAUGCAGAUCAGACAUGAAACAAGAGUUGUCCAUCUCUGAGAACUAACAUAGUGUAUGUCUGAGCUGAAAAUGAGUCCAAAAUGUCGCAUACACUUUAGAUUCCUUUGUAGACGGCACAUUCACUGCUGCAGCCUGUAAGUUUGACCAGCAGAUGGCGACACGGCAUCAUUCAGCUGUUUGAUUGACUUGCACACAGCAAUGAUUCAUGAAUACAGCCGGAAGACAACACAUGUGAUUGGCUGAGUCAGUGAGAGGGAGGGCUGCACUUGGACUGACAGCUGCAGGUGCUUGUCAGAGGAGGACUGAUCUAUUGGAUUUUAAUCUACAAUUCUGGACAUGUGACAGAUAAGUACCACUUUCUAUGCGAUUCCAAUUUAUAUCCAGUUGGACAUCCAGCAGGGGGAGCCGCAGAGCAGCAAAUGGGGGACUCAAUGAGGACUUUGUCAAACACACAGAGGUGCAUUGAUGGAAUCAUGUGACCCAUCUUUAAGCUUCACUCUACAAAAAGCACUCAAUAUCUAUCUAUCUAUCUAUCUAUCUAUCUAUCUAUCUAUCUAUCUAUCUAUCUAUCUAUCUAUCUAUCUAUCUAUCUAUAGAGUCAAUAAAGUGUAACAUUCCAAAAUAAAAGCCAAAUGUAACAGGAAUGUUUUCCAAAAUAAAAGCAAACUGUAACAGGAGUCUUUUUUUCUAAAAUAAAAUAAAAAUAUACCAGGAGUGUUUUUUCCAAAAUAAAAGCGUAUGUAUGAGGAAUGUUUUCCAAAAUAAAAGCUGGAUGUGAUCAUUUUAACCCCCAAAACAUAAAAGAUAAAGGUAACAGGAGUUUUUUCCAAAAUAAAAGCAAACGGAGCAAGAAUUGUUUUCCAAAAUAAAACUACAAUAUAACAGGAGUGUUUUCAAAAUAAAAGCAAAAAUCACAGGAGUGUUUUUCGAAAAUGAAAGCAAAAUGUAUCAGUUAGCAGUGUGUUUUUUCGGAAUAACAUCUAAAUGUAACAGGAGUGUUUUCCAAAAUAAAAGCCAACGUGACAGGACUGCUUUCCAAAA